UACGAAGGGGGCUAGCGUUGUUCGGAAUUACUGGGCGUAAAGGGCGCGUAGGCGGAUCGGCAAGUCAGAAGUGAAAUCCCUGGGCUCAACCCAGGAAUUGCUUUUGAGACUGUCGGUCUUGAGUACAGGAGAGGUAAGUGGAAUUCCCAGUGUAGAGGUAAAAUUCGUAGAUAUUGGGAGGAACACCAGUGGCGAAGGCGGCUUACUGGCCUGUAACUGACGCUGAGGCGCGAAAGCGUGGGGAGCAAACAGG
rnacentral:rRNA from 1 species